rnacentral:rRNA from 1 species
CUCUCGGCAACGGAUAUUUAGGCUCUCGCAUCGAUGAAGAACGUAGCGAAAUGCGAUACUUGGUGAGAAUUGCAGAAUCCCGCGAAUCAUCGAGUUUUUGAACGCAAGUUGCGCCCGAAGCCAUUCGGCGGAGGGCACGUCUGCCUGGGUGUCACGCAUCGUUACC